rnacentral:rRNA from 1 species
AACGAACGCUGGCGGCAUGCCUAACACAUGCAAGUCGAACGAGACCUUCGGGUCUAGUGGCGCACGGGUGCGUAACGCGUGGGAACCUGCCCUUAGGUUCGGAAUAACUCCCCGAAAGGGGUGCUAAUACCGGAUAAUGUCUUCGGACCAAAGAUUUAUCGCCUUUGGAUGGGCCCGCGUUGGAUUAGCUAGUAGGUAGGGUAAAAGCCUACCAAGGCGACGAUCCAUAGCUGGUCUGAGAGGAUGAUCAGCCACACUGGGACUGAGACACGGCCCAGACUCCUACGGGAGGCAGCAGUGGGGAAUAUUGGACAAUGGGCGAAAGCCUGAUCCAGCAAUGCCGCGUGAGUGAUGAAGGCCUUAGGGUUGUAAAGCUCUUUUACCCGGGAUGAUAAUGACAGUACCGGGAGAAUAAGCGCCGGCUAACUCCGUG